UUCUAAAGAGUUCCUUUUCUCUUCUUGAAUAUAAGCCAUUUAACAAUGUGAGACAUGUCUUUUGUGGUUAUUUGUAAUAUCCUGUAUGUGUCUGGAGUACUUUGAUGCCUUGGAUUGGAAGCUACCUUAAAAGAUGAACUUUUGAGGGUGUGUUUUCUAUUGUGUGGGGCUUUUGUCGAAAUUAGGAUUCCGAAACACGUUUUUCUACGGUGGGUUCAUUCGACAGCGAUUUACUUUCUUAGAAGUUGCGAGACGGUAUGUUUUUGAUUGCAAUUAUUGGAAGAUGACAGAUCCAUCUUUAAAAUGAUACCAGGUUCGGAAAAAUUGAUACGUCGGAAAGGCAAGAAAAAUGCUGUGAAAGUUGUCAGUUUUAUAAUGGGACCCUAUGGGAAUCGGAAUUAGUGUAAUAUAACCUUUAAAAAGCACAUUUACUGCAAUGUCAAGGUCACAUGGAUUCGUCUGCAAGCGAGACAAGUAGAAAAUGAAUUUUAAUGAAUGUUUUGAUGAUUUGGGUGCUAAAAUAGAUGAGAGGUGUCAAUAUUUUGGUCCAAAUGGAUGUUUUAGGUGGUUUUGGACUGUUCUGGAUGGGUGGGGGACCUGGUAUGGACAAGUAAGGGUAACAUUUCCAACAAAUCUUAAAUGUAAAUAUUAUUAUGUCCAUAGAUUGAAGUUUCAGGUGGAGAGCAAGAUGAAAAAUAUGCAAAAUUACAUGCAUGCAACCCAUUUAUGCCAUUUUUCUCUUUGUUUGUAGGCCUGACCGUUUGUCCUUGAGCCGUAGAUGGUCAACAAUCCGCUAGCUGUCUUGCUCUGACUGGUGCACUGGACAUGAUUUCAAUAGUCAGCCAGACCAUGAUUGAGCUUAAGGGUUGUGCUGCGGAUGCAGCCUGUGCAGUUCCGGGAGAAAGUCACUGUCUCGGGCAAUGCGGUCUGGUAUCAGGUCUGGAUGAUCCUUGCCUGACUGCGGGUUUGUGUACACCUCAAUCCGACUCUGUGUCCUGAACAGAGGCCGCAGUGGUGCAGCGCUUGUGGACGAUCCAUCAACAUCCUGAAAGGUCAACACUACACCAAGCUGGGAAAAUUGAUCCUGAUAGUCAUCCCCAGGCCUGACCGUUUGUCCUUGAGCCGUAGAUGGUCAACAAUCCGCUAGCUGUCUUGCUCUGACUGGUGCACUGGACAUGAUUUCAAUAGUCAGCCAGACCAUGAUUGAGCUUAAGGGUUGUGCUGCGGAUGCAGCCUGUGCAGUUCCGGGAGAAAGUCACUGUCUCGGGCAAUGCGGUCUGGUAUCAGGUCUGGAUGAUCCUUGCCUGACUGCGGGUUUGUGUACACCUCAAUCCGACUCUGUGUCCUGAACAGAGGCCGCAGUGGUGCAGCGCUUGUGGACGAUCCAUCAACAUCCUGAAAGGUCAACACUACACCAAGCUGGGAAAAUUGAUCCUGAUAGUCAUCCCCAGGCCUGACCGUUUGUCCUUGAGCCGUAGAUGGUCAACAAUCCGCUAGCUGUCUUGCUCUGACUGGUGCACUGGACAUGAUUUCAAUAGUCAGCCAGACCAUGAUUGAGCUUAAGGGUUGUGCUGCGGAUGCAGCCUGUGCAGUUCCGGGAGAAAGUCACUGUCUCGGGCAAUGCGGUCUGGUAUCAGGUCUGGAUGAUCCUUGCCUGACUGCGGGUUUGUGUACACCUCAAUCCGACUCUGUGUCCUGAACAGAGGCCGCAGUGGUGCAGCGCUUGUGGACGAUCCAUCAACAUCCUGAAAGGUCAACACUACACCAAGCUGGGAAAAUUGAUCCUGAUAGUCAUCCCCAGGCCUGACCGUUUGUCCUUGAGCCGUAGAUGGUCAACAAUCCGCUAGCUGUCUUGCUCUGACUGGUGCACUGGACAUGAUUUCAAUAGUCAGCCAGACCAUGAUUGAGCUUAAGGGUUGUGCUGCGGAUGCAGCCUGUGCAGUUCCGGGAGAAAGUCACUGUCUCGGGCAAUGCGGUCUGGUAUCAGGUCUGGAUGAUCCUUGCCUGACUGCGGGUUUGUGUACACCUCAAUCCGACUCUGUGUCCUGAACAGAGGCCGCAGUGGUGCAGCGCUUGUGGACGAUCCAUCAACAUCCUGAAAGGUCAACACUACACCAAGCUGGGAAAAUUGAUCCUGAUAGUCAUCCCCAGGCCUGACCGUUUGUCCUUGAGCCGUAGAUGGUCAACAAUCCGCUAGCUGUCUUGCUCUGACUGGUGCACUGGACAUGAUUUCAAU